rnacentral:rRNA from 1 species
AAACGUUAAAGGAAUUGACGGGACCCGCACAAGCGGUGGAUGAUGUGGAUUAAUUCGAUGCAACGCGAAAACCUUACCUACCCUUGACAUGUCCGGAAUCCUGCAGAGAUGCGGAGUGCCCGAAAGGGAAUCGGAACACAGGUGCUGCAUGGCUGUCGUCAGCUCGUGUCGUGAGAUGUUGGGUUAAGUCCCGCAACGAGCGCAACCCUUGCCAUUAGUUGCUACGAAAGGGCACUCUAAUGGGACUGCCGGUGACAAACCGGAGGAAGGUGGGGAUGACGUCAAGUCCUCAUGGCCCUUAUAGGUGGGGCUACACACGUCAUACAAUGGCCGGUACAGAGGGUAGCCAACCUGCGAGGGGGAGCCAAUCCCACAAAGCCGGUCGUAGUCCGGAUCGCAGUCUGCAACUCGACUGCGUGAAGUCGGAAUCGCUAGUAGUCGCGGAUCAGCAUGUCGCGGUGAAUACGUUCCCGGGUCUU